AGCGUACACGGUGGAUGCCCUGGCAGUCAGAGGCGAUGAAGGACGUGCUAAUCUGCGAAAAGCGCCGGUAAGGUGAUAUGAACCGUUAUAACCGGCGAUGUCCGAAUGGGGAAACCCGGUGCACUUCGGUGCAUCAUCGUUAGCUGAAUACAUAGGCUAACGAGGCGAACCGGGGGAACUGAAACAUCUAAGUACCCCGAGGAAAAGAAAUCAACCGAGAUUCCCCCAGUAGCGGCGAGCGAACGGGGAACAGCCCAGAGCCUGAAUCAGCUUGUGUGUCAGUGGAACGGUCUGGAAAGGCCGGCGAUACAGGGUGACAGCCCCGUACACGAAGGCACACAGGCUGUGAGCUCGAUGAGUAGGGCGGGACACGUGAUAUCCUGUCUGAAGAUGGGGGGACCAUCCUCCAAGGCUAAAUACUCCUGACUGACCGAUAGUGAACCAGUACCGUGAGGGAAAGGCGAAAAGAACCCCGGCGAGGGGAGUGAAACAGAACCUGAAACCGUGUACGUACAAGCAGUGGGAGCCUUCGUAAGAGGGUGACUGCGUACCUUUUGUAUAAUGGGUCAGCGACUUAUAUUCUGUAGCAAGGUUAACCGUAUAGGGGAGCCGAAGGGAAACCGAGUCUUAAUUGGGCGUUAAGUUGCAGGGUAUAGACCCGAAACCCGGUGAUCUAGCCAUGGGCAGGUUGAAGGUUGGGUAACACUAACUGGAGGACCGAACCGACUAAUGUUGAAAAAUUAGCGGAUGACCUGUGGCUGGGGGUGAAAGGCCAAUCAAACCGGGAGAUAGCUGGUUCUCCCCGAAAGCUAUUUAGGUAGCGCCUCGUGAACUCAUCUCCGGGGGUAGAGCACUGUUUCGGCUAGGGGGCCAUCCCGGCUUACCAACCCGAUGCAAACUGCGAAUACCGGAGAAUGUUAUCACGGGAGACACACGGCGGGUGCUAACGUCCGUCGUGAAGAGGGAAACAACCCAGACCGCCAGCUAAGGUCCCAAAGUCAUGGUUAAGUGGGAAACGAUGUGGGAAGGCCCAGACAGCCAGGAUGUUGGCUUAGAAGCAGCCAUCAUUUAAAGAAAGCGUAAUAGCUCACUGGUCGAGUCGGCCUGCGCGGAAGAUGUAACGGGGCUAAACCAUGCACCGAAGCUGCGGCAGCGACACUAUGUGUUGUUGGGUAGGGGAGCGUUCUGUAAGCCUGUGAAGGUGUGCUGUGAGGCAUGCUGGAGGUAUCAGAAGUGCGAAUGCUGACAUAAGUAACGAUAAAGCGGGUGAAAAGCCCGCUCGCCGGAAGACCAAGGGUUCCUGUCCAACGUUAAUCGGGGCAGGGUGAGUCGACCCCUAAGGCGAGGCCGAAAGGCGUAGUCGAUGGGAAACAGGUUAAUAUUCCUGUACUUGGUGUUACUGCGAAGGGGGGACGGAGAAGGCUAUGUCGGCCGGGCGACGGUUGUCCCGGUUUAAGCGUGUAGGCUGACUUUCCAGGCAAAUCCGGAGAGUUAAGGCUGAGGCGUGAUGACGAGGCACCACGGUGCUGAAGUGACAAAUGCCCUGCUUCCAGGAAAAGCCUCUAAGCAUCAGGUAACAUCAAAUCGUACCCCAAACCGACACAGGUGGUCAGGUAGAGAAUACCAAGGCGCUUGAGAGAACUCGGGUGAAGGAACUAGGCAAAAUGGUGCCGUAACUUCGGGAGAAGGCACGCUGACAUGUAGGUGAAGCCCCUGCGGGUGGAGCUGAAGUCAGUCGAAGAUACCAGCUGGCUGCAACUGUUUAUUAAAAACACAGCACUGUGCAAACACGAAAGUGGACGUAUACGGUGUGACGCCUGCCCGGUGCCGGAAGGUUAAUUGAUGGGGUUAUCGCAAGAGAAGCUCCUGAUCGAAGCCCCGGUAAACGGCGGCCGUAACUAUAACGGUCCUAAGGUAGCGAAAUUCCUUGUCGGGUAAGUUCCGACCUGCACGAAUGGCGUAAUGAUGGCCAGGCUGUCUCCACCCGAGACUCAGUGAAAUUGAACUCGCUGUGAAGAUGCAGUGUACCCGCGGCAAGACGGAAAGACCCCGUGAACCUUUACUACAGCUUGACACUGAACAUUGAGCCUUGAUGUGUAGGAUAGGUGGGAGGCUUUGAAGCGUGGACGCCAGUCUGCGUGGAGCCGACCUUGAAAUACCACCCUUUAAUGUUUGAUGUUCUAACCUGGCGCCGUAAUCCGGCGUGGGGACAGUGUCUGGUGGGUAGUUUGACUGGGGCGGUCUCCUCCCAAAGUGUAACGGAGGAGCACGAAGGUCAGCUAAUCCUGGUCGGACAUCAGGAGGUUAGUGCAAUGGCAUAAGCUGGCUUGACUGCGAGAGUGACGGCUCGAGCAGGUGCGAAAGCAGGUCAUAGUGAUCCGGUGGUUCUGUAUGGAAGGGCCAUCGCUCAACGGAUAAAAGGUACUCCGGGGAUAACAGGCUGAUACCGCCCAAGAGUUCAUAUCGACGGCGGUGUUUGGCACCUCGAUGUCGGCUCAUCACAUCCUGGGGCUGAAGUAGGUCCCAAGGGUAUGGCUGUUCGCCAUUUAAAGUGGUACGCGAGCUGGGUUUAGAACGUCGUGAGACAGUUCGGUCCCUAUCUGCCGUGGGCGCUGGAGAAUUGAGGGGGGCUGCUCCCAGUACGAGAGGACCGGAGUGGACGCAUCACUGGUGUUCGGGUUGUCAUGCCAAUGGCACUGCCCGGUAGCUAAAUGCGGAAGAGAUAAGUGCUGAAAGCAUCUAAGCACGAAACUUGCCCCGAGAUGAGUUCU
rnacentral:rRNA from 1 species